GGGCUCGUAGCUCAGAUGGUUAGAGCGCUACUUUGACAUAGUAGAGGUCUGCAGUUCAAGUCUGCACGAGCCCAC
rnacentral:tRNA from 1 species